rnacentral:rRNA from 1 species
GAUGAACGCUAGCGGCAGGCCUAACACAUGCAAGUCGAGGGGCAGCGGGUGUAGCAAUACAUGCCGGCGACCGGCGCACGGGUGAGUAACGCGUAUGCAAUCUACCCUUUACAGUGGGAUAGCUCAGGGAAACCUGAAUUAAUACCGCAUGAGACUACACGAUGGCAUCAAAGAGUAGUUAAAGUUUUAACGGUAAAGGAUGAGCAUGCGUGACAUUAGCUAGUUGGUGAGGUAACGGCUCACCAAGGCUACGAUGUCUAAGGGGUCUGAGAGGAUGAUCCCUCACACUGGUACUGAGACACGGACCAGACUCCUACGGGAGGCAGCAGUGAGGAAUAUUGGUCAAUGGGGGCAACCCUGAACCAGCCAUGCCGCGUGAAGGAAGACGGCCCUAAGGGUUGUAAACUUCUUUUGUACUGGGGUAAAAGUAGGUUUGCGAACUUACGUGAAAGUACAGUACGAAUAAGCAUCGGCUAACUCCGUGCCAGCAGCCGCGGUAA